rnacentral:rRNA from 1 species
ACACGUGGGCAACCUGCCUGUAAGACUGGGAUAACUUCGGGAAACCGGAGCUAAUACCGGAUAAUCCUUUUCCUCUCAUGAGGAAAAGCUGAAAGACGGUUUACGCUGUCACUUACAGAUGGGCCCGCGGCGCAUUAGCUAGUUGGUGAGGUAACGGCUCACCAAGGCGACGAUGCGUAGCCGACCUGAGAGGGUGAUCGGCCACACUGGGACUGAGACACGGCCCAGACUCCUACGGGAGGCAGCAGUAGGGAAUCUUCCGCAAUGGACGAAAGUCUGACGGAGCAACGCCGCGUGAGUGAUGAAGGUUUUCGGAUCGUAAAACUCUGUUGUUAGGGAAGAACAAGUACAAGAGUAACUGCUUGUACCUUGACGGUACCUAACCAGAAAGCCACGGCUAACUACGUGCCAGCAGCCGCGGUAAUACGUAGGUGGCAAGCGUUGUCCGGAAUUAUUGGGCGUAAAGCGCGCGCAGGCGGUCCUUUAAGUCUGAUGUGAAAGCCCACGGCUCAACCGUGGAGGGUCAUUGGA